rnacentral:tRNA from 4 species
GGCGGAGUAGCUCAGCUGGUUAGAGCAGAGGAAUCAUAAUCCUCGUGUCGGGGGUUCGAGUCCCUCCUCCGCUACCA